GCCCAAUUGCUCCAGCCUCCUAAUCGGCCGAUUUCUACCAACUCCAUCGGCAAGGGACAGCCGAUUACGACCCACGUGUCAGGGGCUCUGAAUACUCCGACCCUAAGAUCUAAGGUUGGGCGAGGCGGAGUUCCUCCCUCGGAGGGUCGGGCGCAUCCGACCCCAGGACUCAGGGGUCGGACGAGGCGGAGUUCCUCCCUCGGAGGGUCAGGCGCAUCCGACCCCAGGACUCAGGGGUCGGACGAGGCGGAGUUCCAUCCUCAAAGGGCAAUCGGCCGAUCCUCGACUGUAGCACCAAUCGGCCGAUUUCCAAUCGUGACCUCUGUGUCUUGCCGCAUCUCCUGACUUCUUCCUUUCCUGACGCUGAUUUCAUACGUGUCAAAAUCUGGCGUCAACAAUAUGUUUCCAUGCCAAUUUGCAGAAUGUUUUGAACAAAUUUAGAUAUUAUUACAAUUAUCCUAUGGUAAUUUGAAGAUUA
rnacentral:lncRNA from 1 species